CCACCAAGAUGGAGGCGAGCUGGAGGCCCUGUUUCUCAAAGCCGUUUUAUAGAACUCGGGCCUCGGACCAGCGUUGAUUUCUGCAAAUGGACGUCGUAGGCAGGCUUCUGGCAUCUUCAGCUGCAGCUGCCUAGCCAAUCAGGAGCUAAGAGGAGCAAGAGCCCCUUGGGGUGCAGCCCCAGCCUCCUGCAACCUCCAGCCCCAGAGCACUGGCUGAGCCGGAGACAGGAUCCAGAGGCUCUACAGGGUGAGGUGCCCCCACAGAGGAGGAGCCCUGAUUCAAAGGAGCCAGCCUUGGACAGCUGUGGUCCCCUGCCUGAUCAUCGAACCUAAUGAAGGUCAGGCCUCAGGGCUGUUGACUCGGACCAUGGAAUAUUAUUUGGCAAUUAAAAGGAAUAAAGUUCUGACACAUGCUACCACAU